GCGUGAGUGAUGAAGGUUUUCGGAUCGUAAAACUCUGUUGCCAGGGAAGAAUGGUNAGGAGAGUAACUGCUCUUAAUUUGACGGUACCUGAGAAGAAAGCCCCGGCUAACUACGUGCCAGCAGCCGCGGUAAUACGUAGGGGGCAAGCGUUGUCCGGAAUUAUUGGGCGUAAAGCGCGCGCAGGCGGUUGUUUAAGUCUGGUGUAUAAACCAAGGGCUCAACCUUUGGACGCAUUGGAAACUGGGCAACUGGAGUGUAGGAGAGGAAAGUGGAAUUCCACGUGUAGCGGUGAAAUGCGUAGAGAUGUGGAGGAACACCAGUGGCGAAGGCGACUUUCUGGCCUAUAA
rnacentral:rRNA from 2 species